GAUGAACGCUGACAGUAUGCUUAACACAUGCAAGUCAUUGGCGAAGCUGCGCUUGCGCAGUCUAGCCAAGGCGGACGGGUGAGUAACGCGUAAGGAACUUGCCCUGCAGACAGGGAUAACAGACGGAAACGACUGAUAACACCUGGUAUUGUCAGGCUGGCGCAUGCCGGCCUGAUGAAAGGAGACGCUGCAGGAGAGCCUUGCGUCCUAUUAGCUAGUUGGUGGGGUAACGGCCCACCAAGGCGAUGAUAGGUAGCCGGCCUGAGAGGGUGAACGGCCACAAGGGGACUGAGAUACGGCCCUUACUCCUACGGGAGGCAGCAGUGGGGAAUAUUGGACAAUGGGGGCAACCCUGAUCCAGCAAUUCUGUGUGCACGAAGAAGGUUUUCGGAUUGUAAAGUGCUUUCAGCAGGGAAGAAGAAAGUGACGGUACCUGCAGAAGAAGCGACGGCUAAAUACGUG
rnacentral:rRNA from 1 species